rnacentral:rRNA from 1 species
UACGUAGGGCGUAAGCGUUGUCCGGAAUUAUUGGGCGUAAAGAGCUCGUAGGCGGCUUGUCACGUCGAUUGUGAAAGCCCGAGGCUUAACCUCGGGUCUGCAGUCGAUACGGGGCUAGCUAGAGUGUGGUAGGGGAGAUCGGAAUUCCUGGUGUAGCGGUGAAAUGCGCAGAUAUCAGGAGGAACACCGGUGGCGAAGGCGGAUCUCUGGGCCAUUACUGACGCUGAGGAGCGAAAGCGUGGGGAGCGAACAGG